GUGGCCAGCUAGUGAUGGAUUCCUCGGGGGGUUUUGUGUCUCAUUGUCAUCGUUGCAGGAUCUCUCAAUCUCAGCGACAUCGCUACCAUUGCCUCACAUCCUCCAACGCAUCUUGCACCGCACUGCACCGCAACGCCGCUCUUUCGCUGAUUGACAGUUACCAGAUCGAAAGAGUUCUCGGUCUUGAGCGAAAGGCCUGCAUAAGGAAGGGCAGGUAGUGAUAAACUACUUGGUUUUGGAAGCAGGUAAGCGAUGCCUCGAUCAUUAUCCAGGUCGAGGUCUCCACCUCGCAAGGGGCGGCACCGGGCGUCUGCACGAUCACCGUCGCCUGUGAAACACCGUCACAGCACGAAACGGAGGAGGGAGUCCCAUAGAAGCCGAUCACCAGUGCAUCAUGGUCACAGCAGGUGUGUUACAGUGAGCAAACACUGGGCUACGCAUGCUAUUGUUGUUGGGCUAGAAUGUAGCCAUGAGAGUCCGAGUGCUGUCAGAUAGUUACGAGUAUCAUGAACGCUUAUAAUCGAUGAGAAAAAAAAAAAGAAAAGAGGAAAAGAAAAAAGAGUGAGAAUGAGGUGGGGACAGACGUGCUCGGAAGGGAUGAUGAACAUGAUGUUCAUGGAAGAAGGGGGUUUUCAUGCUGUUGCUGCCUGGAGAAAAGCUGGAGGGCUUUAUGGAAGGUCCUCGUUUCAGGAACUUUCCAAUCGUUUCUGAUGUACCGCCGCCCUCUCCCUCUGGCACAGGAGUCGAACACCAUCUCCAAGGCGAUCGAAGCGUCGUAGUCGUACACGAUCACCAAUUAGAUCUCGGAGUGCAAGUCCUUUCUCUCUUGAACGAAGAAGAGCUUUUGAUAAGGUUCGAGAAGACGAAGAGUUUGAGAAGAAAAGGUACUGCCUCACAAAGAUUGGCGUUCUGACCCACAUGGGGAAGAUAUGUCCAAUAAAAAAGAAUCUGGAAGCCUUAAGGAUAUACUUCUCAUUAUUAUAUGCUGUGAUUCUAAUCAAAUUGCUGAUGUUAACAGGGGAAGUAACAUGGAAGAGGAAUCAGCCAAGUAAUUUUGCCAAAAUAACGGCAAUUUUUCAUGGUUAAGAUUGAUAGAAAGGAUGGGUUAGCUUUCCAUCGCAGUCAAAGUUUGUAGUGGAAGUGACGCCAUGUGGUGAGACAUUUCUUCUGGUCCAUGGCAGUGUCGAGUAUGUCUGUGAUUCGAAUCACUCAGUACAUGUCUCGCACAUUUCACGUCGUCCUUCGCACUGAAUGUAUAUAGGUCCUUAAUGUCCACGGGUGAUCAAUGGAGGAUAUGUUUCGGCUGCCUCUUCAAAUUGAGCUUGUUUGUCAUCUCUGGAUGUGCAAUGUGUCUCGGUUCAUAUGUCGCAGUAUAUUCGGACCUGACCUCGUGCAACACACUUCAGGUUAUGUAUCAGUUUCGUGUGGUUCCUAUCUGCUUUUACAUUGACUGUGCCUUGAAAGAAUCAGUGUGAUGAAUGUUCGCUUAUCCCCAGAUUGUUAAACUAGCAUGGGACUGGGUUCAUCUAUCACAAAUAUGUCCUAGUUUGCUGACUAAGCGUACUUUAUUUACAGGCGACAGCAAGAGGAUGAAGCAAAGGUAAUUGAGGAAGAAACUGCAAAGAGAAUAGAAGAAGCUAUUCGGAAGAAAGUACACGAUGCCUUGCACUCUGAGGAGUUUAAGAAGGAGUUUGAGUCCAGGAUACAAGAGGGCAGGAAAAAAAUUAUUGACGACAUAGCUGCUCAGCUUGAAAGAGAAAAGGAGGAAGCUCUUGCAGAGGCUAGGAGGAAAGAGGAAGAGAAAAAUAAGGAGAAAGAACAGCUGGAACAGAUGCUUGAAGAAAAUCGACGGAAGAUCGAAGAAGCUCAAAGGAGGGCAGCUGAGGAGCAAGCCAGAAAGGAAGAAGAACGGUAUCGUGAGCUGGAGGCUCUACAACGGCAGAAGGAAGAAGCAUUGCGAAGGAAAAAGUUGGAAGAAGAACAAGGACGGCAAGAGCAAAUGAAAAUCUUAGGCAAAAAGAACACCCGCCCUAAGUUAUCGUUUGCUCUUGGGUUCAAGUGACACGACACGUCGUGUGGUAUUGCAGAAGGUUGUCUUGUUUCUUAGCAUUGUUGAUUUUUUUUUGUUGAAUAUAUCAUCUGCCAUUGUUUGAGUGAGGCGAUAAGUUGUUAGUUUUAGGAAGAUAAAUUCUCCUAGCUAGGUAACGACAGAAGGAAUGAGAACCGGUUCUUCGAGAAAACUCAUUGUAAAUCGUAUUCUUGUGUUACCCCAAAGCUAUUUGAUUUAUUUGCUGUUAUCUAUGUGAGAAGAAACUCAUAAGCAAUCAUAAAGAACACAGCUAAGACGUUUGUAAUUUUGACAACUGAUGGAUAAAUCAGGCUUUUAAACA